rnacentral:sRNA from 1 species
ACCUGAAAUGGUCUAGUAGGUUUUGGCUGUGCUCCA